GUACCAUAACCGACACAGGUGGGUAAGUAGAGUAUACUAAGGGGCGCGAGAUAACUCUCUCUAAGGAACUCGGCAAAAUAACUCCGUAACUUCGGGAGAAGGAGUGCCUUAUUCUUAAGGUUGCAAUAACAAGAUCCAAGCAACUGUUUAUCAAAAACACAGGUCUCCGCUAAGUCGUAAGACGAUGUAUGGGGGCUGACGCCUGCCCAGUGCCAGAAGGUUAAAGAAGUCGGUUAGCAAUAGCAAAGCUGGUAGCUGAAGCCCUGGUGAACGGCGGCCGUAACAAUAACGGUCCUAAGGUAGCGAAAUUCCUUGUCGGGUAAGUUCCGACCCGCACGAAAGGCGUAAUGAUUUGGAUGCUGUCUCGGAGAGGGGCUCGGUGAAAUAGACUUGUCUGUGAAGAUGCGGACUACCUGCACCAGGACAGAAAGACCCUAUGAAGCUUUACUGUAACUUGAAAUUGAAAUUGGACUUUAUUCGCGCAGUAUAGGUGGGAGGCGUUGAUUAUAAUCUUGUGGGAUUAUUGGAGCCAUCAGUGAGAUACCACUCUUGUAAUGUUAGAUUUCUAACUUUGAAUCAUUAUCUGGUCAAAGGACAGCUUCAGGCGGGCAGUUUGACUGGGGCGGUCGCCUCCUAAACGGUAACGGAGGCGUACAAAGGUUUCCUCUGAACGGUUAGAAAUCGUAUCUAGAGUGUAAAGGCAUAAGGGAGCUUGACUGUGAGACCUACAAGUCGAGCAGGGACGAAAGUCGGUCUUAGUGAUCUGACGGUACUGAGUGGAAAGGCCGUCACUCAACGGAUAAAAGUUACUCUAGGAUAACAGGCUGAUCUCCCCCAAGAGUUCACAUCGACGGGGAGGUUUGGCACCUCGAUGUCGGCUCAUCGCAUCCUGGGGCGGUAGUACGUCCCAAGGGUUGGGCUGUUCGCCCAUGAAAGCGGUACGCGAGCUGGGUUCAGAACGUCGUGAGACAGUUCGGUCCAUAUCCGGUGUAGGCGCUAGAAUAUUGAGAGGAGCCUUCUUUAGUACGAGAGGACCGAGAAGGACAUACCUCUGGUGUACCAGUUAUCGUGCCAACGGUAAACGCUGGGUAGCUAUGUAUGGAGUGGAUAACCGCUGAAAGCAUCUAAGUGGGAAGCCCACCUCAAGAUAAGUAUUCUCAUCACGUAAGUGAGUAAGGUCACGGUAAGACUAACCGUUUGAUAGGCAUUAAGUGUAAGUACAGUAAUGUAUGUGCUGAGAUGUCCUAAUAGACCGAGGACUUG
rnacentral:rRNA from 1 species